AACCACUGUCUUUCCUCUGGUUUUAGUUUUGACUUUUCCAAAAUAUCAUAUAUUUGGAGUCAUAUGCAUAUUUAAUCUUUGGAGGCCAGAGGCAAAGUGGUCAGGAGUAAAGACUCAUGAAGACCACUCAUUUUCCUGGAAAGGGUUCUACGUCCGCACCUUCAUGAGUAUAGCGAUUGCUUCUGACAACUUGCGAACUUAGUUGCAAUACCUAGAACAUGAAAGGAUUGCAAAGAAAGGACCAACAUUUCAGUGUCCAUGGGGGGCAUCAGUUCCUGCCUGAAAGGAGAGAAGAUGAAGGGAAAUGGCUGUUGUCAAGGCACAUAAUGUCUGCCAAAAGAGAAGUGUAUUUGCUAUGGGUUGAUUAAAACUUUGUAGGAAACUAGGGGAUGAUCAUUAACUCUUUGCUAUCUUGGAAAUUAGUAUAAAAGACUUUCUACCCAUUGGUUGUCAUCUCAGAAAUUCUACCAUUUCUCAGAGUCUGCGGCAAAUAAAACAUCAUUAGACAAGAAGAAUGAGCAAUAAGGCAGAGAAGGAGUCCUGAAGUUAAA